UUCAAGUGACAGCGUGGUCCAGGAGACACGCGACCUUAUCUCAAGCCUCACCGCCCAUCUACAGAACAUCUACACGUCUAUUGGCAACAAAGAUGCCAGUAGUGCUGGGUCCGGGUGUUGCAGUGACGUUCUGGGCACCUUGAGCGUUCUGCAAUUGAAAGUCGAUGAACUGGACAAGCAACAGAGAGAGGUGUUUAGAAAUAAGCUCGACGCUCAGGAACUUCUGAUAACCGAGCUGAGAAACCAACAAGCUAACACUGCUAAACUUGUGAAGAAUCUGUCUUCCCAACUUGCAAUCCUGCAGGCUCAGUGGCAACUUGCUAAAUCAACAACCUAUACACCUACAACCACC